AGUGAACGCUGGCGGUAGGCCUAACACAUGCAAGUCGAACGGCAGCACAGGAGAGCUUGCCCUCUGGGUGGCGAGUGGCGGACGGGUGAGGAAUACAUCGGAAUCUACCUUUUCGUGGGGGCUAACGUAGGGAAACUUACGCUAAUACCGCAUACGACCUACGGGUGAAAGUGGGGGACCGCAAGCCCUCACGCGAUUAGAUGAGCCGAUGUCCGAUUAGCUAGUGGGCGGGGGAAUGGCCCACCAAGGCGACGAUCGGUAGCUGGUCUGAGAGGAUGAUCAGCCACACUGGAACUGAGACACGGUCCAGACUCCUACGGGAGGCAGCAGUGGGGAAUAUUGGACAAUGGGCGCAAGCCUGAUCCAGCCAUACCGCGUGGGUGAAGAAGGCCUUCGGGUUGUAAAGCCCUUUUGUUGGGAAAGAAAUCCUGUCGAUUAAUACUCGGUGGGGAUGACGGUACCCAAAGAAUAAGCACCGGCUAACUUCGUGCCAGCCGCCGCCGUAAGAC
rnacentral:rRNA from 1 species